AACGCAUAUUGCGCUCUCUGGUAUUCCGGGGAGCAUACUUGUCUGAGGGUCGGUAAAUCCAAAUCCUUUAGGGGGUCGAUGGGUGCAUCCGUUAGCCAUUUUUUGGAUAUCGGUCGCCUGAAAUAAUAUAGCUUCCGCGACAGCAGCGGAUCCGCGUAGUAAGCGUUUACGAAUGCAUCUCGCGACUAAGCGGUGGCGGUAAGUUAAUAAAAGGAACGUACGUAACUUUCGUUGCGUUUUUCCUACCUUUUGUCUCGACCUCAGAUCAAGUAAGAGUACCCGCUGAACUUAA
rnacentral:misc_RNA from 1 species